UUAACAAAAUACAAAACAAGUGUAACUCCAAAGAUCGAUAACAUUUUUAUAUUUAUCUAAAAAUAUAAAAAUGUUAUCGAUCUUUGGAGUUACACUUGUUUCGUAUUU